rnacentral:rRNA from 1 species
AUAUUGGUCAAUGGGCGCAAGCCUGAGCCAGCCAUGCCGCGUGCAGGAUGAAGCAUCUAUGGUGUGUAAACUGCUUUUGUACGGGAAGAAAUCUCGUGGGUUAAUACCUUGCGAGGAUGACGGUACCGUAAGAAUAAGCACCGGCUAACUUCGUGCCAGCAGCCGCGGUAAUACGAAGGGUGCAAGCGUUAAUCGGAAUUACUGGGCGUAAAGCGUGCGUAGGCGGUUUGUUAAGUCCGAUGUGAAAGCCCUGGGCUCAACCUGGGAAUGGCACUGGAUACUGGCAGGCUAGAAUGUGGUAGAGGGGUGCGGAAUUUCCGGUGUAGCGGUGAAAUGCGUAGAGAUCGGAAGGAACAUCCGUGGCGAAGGCGGCACCCUGGACCAACAUUGACGCUGAGGCACGAAAGCGUGGGGAGCAAACAGG